rnacentral:rRNA from 1 species
UACGUAGGGGGCAAGCGUUGUCCGGAAUCAUUGGGCGUAAAGAGCGUGUAGGCGGCCCGGUAAGUCCGCUGUGAAAGUCCAGGCUCAACCCUGGGAUGCCGGUGGAUACUGUCGGGCUCGAGUCCGGAAGAGGAGUGUGGAAUUCCGUGGUGUAGCGGUGAAAUGCGUAGAUAUCAGGAGGAACACCGGUGGUGGUAGACCGGCUCACUGGACCGUAACCUGACGCUGAGACACGAAAGCGUGGGUAGCAAACAGG